AAAGGUUGGAAUUAAAGCAAAAUAAAUGUGAUUAAACAAUCGAUUAUUGAGACUAUGGACUAGGGGUGCAACCAGCAGACCCAGGGUCUGCCAAGUAUAAACAUGGCACAGGCCCACCAAAAGGCCCAAUGAAUCUGCCUUCAGUCCCAAAGAAUUUGCUCUAGGUUCGCACAUCCAGAUCUUGAGUUCGUCGAUCGUCGUCUUCACCGCAUUCGAGAUCAAUUGACAGUGAAAUUCAAUUGGCAUAUGAGGAGGAUUGGUUUUCUCUGUGAGUUCUGUGAUUUUUUGGAUGCGUGAAUAUUAAAUGAGUCAUUGGAGAUUCGGCUCGAGCUCAUAAAAUGAAGGUUGCACAUGCUACUUGGGUUGCAUCGGAUCGGAGGAAAUUGGUCAUGAAGAAUUGUGGUUGAGUGUUUAGAUUAGAACCUUAGGUCACAUGUUAGUCUAGGUUUGUCUUUGGGGAGUGCUCAUGGAAUGCAUUGGAGUUGUUUUGGGAUUAUUUGUGGGGUUUAAAUUGUGUUUUUUUUUUUUGUAGUUUUGAAAUCUUGGAUUAAUAACAUGGUUUGUGGUUGUACUUGAAACUUGAACGUUAUAGUGAAAAUGAAUUGAAGUUUAAUUAUGGGAUUUUGAUGUAUGUUGGCAUUGUCUUGUAUGAAUGGUUGUAAUAGAAACAUUUGAAUAUUGUAAUGUAGUGAAAUUGUAAAUGUGUAGAUUGGUUUGAAUGGAAAAUGGAUAGAUUGGAAGUGAAA